rnacentral:rRNA from 1 species
UACAGAGGGUGCUAGCGUUGUUCGGAAUCAUUGGGCGUAAAGGGCGUGUAGGCGGUUUGUUAAGUCAUGUGUGAAAUCCCUCGGCUCAACCGGGGAAGGACGCAUGAAACUGGCAAGCUAGAGUACCAAAGAGGGGGGUGGAAUUCCCGGUGUAGCGGUGAAAUGCGUAGAUAUCGGAAGGAACACCAGUGGCGAAAGCGGCUUCCUGGUCCAGCACCGACGUUCAGGCACGAAAGCGUGGGGAGCAAACAGG